AUGAAGAUAAGAAGCAUAGUUAUGCUUGGCCUUAACGUCUGUCAACUUGAACACCAGCUGUUUGAUCAUUUUUUUCCCAGCUUCUUCGAAGGAUGUUUUGAGUUUAUCUCCAUUAAUGGACCCUCUUUGAUCUGCAACUGUUGCCCAUCAAAGAUACUCUUGCUCCUUCAGAUCCGUAACUGUUUGCUACUUCACCGUCACAGUCUGAUCAUUUGGCUUCUUCACAAUUUGCAUUUGAAAGAAUAUACCUAA